UAACACGUAGGGGGCGAGCGUUGUCCGGAUUUAUUGGGCGUAAAGAGCUCGUAGGCGGCUCAGUUAGUCGGGUGUGAAACCUCCAGGCUCAACCUGGAGACGCCACCCGAUACUGCUGUGGCUAGAGUCCGGUAGGGGAGCGUGGAAUUCCUGGUGUAGCGGUGAAAUGCGCAGAUAUCAGGAGGAACACCAGCGGCGAAGGCGGCGCUCUGGGCCGGAACUGACGCUGAGGAGCGAAAGCGUGGGGAGCGAACAGGA
rnacentral:rRNA from 1 species